rnacentral:rRNA from 1 species
UACGGGGGGGGCAAGCGUUGUUCGGAAUUACUGGGCGUAAAGGGAGCGUAGGCGGGUUAUCAAGUUGGAGGUGAAAGCCCAGGGCUCAACCUUGGAAUUGCCUUCAAAACUGAUAGCCUAGAGUAUGGAAGAGGUAAGUGGAACUCCGAGUGUAGAGGUGAAAUUCGUAGAUAUUCGGAAGAACACCAGUGGCGAAGGCGACUUACUGGUCCAUGACUGACGCUGAGGCUCGAAAGCGUGGGGAGCAAACAGG